UGAGCCUUAGGCCACUACCGAGCAGCAACGGAGGAUCAUAAACUGCCUGUACUGUCGAGAUGAUCCCUACUUGAAAAGGCGGAGACAAUACCUCUUGUUGCGACAAAUUGAGUUUCAAAACCACCACCCAGUCAACAAGGCAUACUUGCUCACUGCGAUCUCUAGCACAGUCUCAUUCGUACCGACCCUCUACGGACGGGGUCAAGAGUGCCUUGCCGUUGCUGUCGCGUAUCCAACCACCCUAUCGGUAUCACCUACGCUACUCAUUUCUGACCCCCACCUUCUUGGUUUCGAUAUCCUAUAUGGAACUAUCAGUCAGAGCUCCGAAAUUACUUUCCCUCAUAAACCUUCACUUCAUCCUCAUCGUCCGUUAGCUAGCCCUACUUGUCUUUUGACUCGGAAAAGGCAGUGAAAUCCCUUUUAUACUAUAUGGAACAACUAGGCCAACUACUUGACUUGGCCAUUCUUCGGAUCAAACACCCCUUCUCCUGCCGAAGUGACGUGCCCAACUACGGGAACUGGUUCACCUCACUCUGCUCGCCCACCAUGGAGUUAUGAAUGAAGCUCUUUCCCGCGCAGGCAAUAGCACUACUUUGUCCCCAGCUUCUCAAUGCCAACAAGAAUAGGUAACUUGCUGAGCGGAACAAACGAAUGAAUGGGUAAAAGCUCUCGCCUGACCGGGGUAAAGAAGGGCCUACCUAUUUUGAACUCCACCCCUCGGACUACUUUCCUUCCAUACCCAUAGGACCAAGGGCUCGUACCAACCUCACUAUUUGAAGACACCGGGCUCUUCACGAAAACAGAGCAAAGGGGCUCCUUAACAACCUGAGCCACAUCCGCCCAUGGUGCAGUGUCAAUUCCAUCUGUUCUCGGUUCUGUGGAUGAAAUUCCAUCCAAAAGAUAGGGCCCUGGUAGCCCAACAAAUUGUCUUCCACUAUCUUAUAUAAUAAAAAACCACGGUCACUUCCACUUGCCUAGCUGAGAAAACCACUGUCUCAGUAGCUUCCUCUGGAACAGCAGCGGAGAAAACAAAUAAUCAACAAAGAUGUGAGAGCUUGAUAGACCUAAGGGGUCUCGUCACAAUGAUGAGAUUUAUUUUCAAGCAAGAGUCAUUCCUUUUCGAGAAACAAAAAGUAGGCCAAAACGUGUUUCGUAAUAGAGAGUGAUACUAAGAAGAGUUUCAUUCCUUUCGAGAAAAUGCCCAUCACGCCUCUGCUCUGACAGUCCCUUCAUGCACUGAUUCCCGCGAAGCACUCGGUGGUGGAGAGUAGCAAGUGGUGCCACUCACAGUGGUUGCUUCAGAGUGAGUGGUGGAACCUCUGGGUGAAUAGUCCCUGCGACAAGGCCUCACUCAUCAGGUAAGGGCAGAAGAGGGGAUCGAUGAGGAAGAUCUACUUCUAAUGAGCCUGUGUCAGUGGUUGGACAAUUGACACCAGUAGUUGGGACAGUGGAAGUGGAAGUGCAAUCCCAAUCUGAAUCUGUCGAAUCCACUGAAGAAGCCUCGGUGGGGCAGCGCAUUUUUACUGUCUAAGGGCUCAAGUUAGGUUGGCAAUCUGAAGCUACGACGGUAGGGGCAUCUCACUCAAUAACGGCAAGUCGUGCGUACUAGGUCCCUAAAGGCGCUUGGGGCAACCCUUCUAACAUAACAAUAGAAGUUCCCCGCCCGGAGAAGCGAGAUCUACUGUGGUAGGAUUUUGUUCUAGAGUUUCCACUAGUUAUCCGGGUAAAAUGGACAUAAAUUCAUAUUCGAUGCCUUGACUUGAGUUUCGGAUUCAUUCGAACCAAAAUGAACUACCCCAUUACAAUAGGGUGACGGGCAGCCAAUCAGAUUGACUUUGUGCCGUUACGUAUUUGCCUUGGCGUAUAUCAAUCUGAUACGGCUCGGUGUGGAUGGCAGGCAGUCCUAUAAGUAUAAGUCUUGGUUUAGUCCAGUAAGAUAUAUAGGAUACUUUUCUCUCAUAUUCAUACCGUUCUGUUGGACCCGAGCCACUAUGACCAGGAGGAGAGCUCAAGUCAGUGGCAGGAGAAGGAUAUUUUAAAGGUAAUGAAGAAGUGGAAGAAAGGAUGAGUGGAGAACUACUUUUGUUUGGGAUUUUGCAGCUCCAAGUUCAUAUUAGGCCUUGUGCUUGUUCGCUCAUCAAGGAGACCUACGAGUACGUCUUUGACUUUGGUUUGGCUGGCCUUUAGCUAGCCCAUGGAUCAAAGCUUUUACCUGGACCACCCUCAUGCUUCCACUUGGACAGCCGUUUGCUCCCAUUGAAGCGUUUGCUCGCCUCUUGACCUGGCCCGGUCGGACCUGGUGGGAACUACUACAUGAGCCAACACCUUUUCGAAACGAGAAAAAGGAAAUUAGCUCGCCUGCCACAAAGGAAGCUAAUGGUGCUGCUGACCUCACCCACACCUACUUUUGUUAGAUACCAAUCAGGGGCUGAUUCACGUCUGGUAUUAAUGUAACGGGCAGGCAGCGCUCACUACUUCGUGCUUCAAUUGCAACCUCUUCCCGCCUCACGUCAGAGAGCCUCCUCACGGACAACACAACGGCUAGAAGAGAGGAAGUCAGAGGGAGAGGGACAGCUAACACACAGUUGAAAACAAAGGUAGUUGGGGCUUCGCCAUCACCUGACUUACUGAACACACUCAAACUGAUACUAAGAAAAUAAGAAAGUACUUACAACAGCUAGGUACCGGAGCCCCAGAGUGAAGGCGCGUACACCAUUUUUGUAUUAUUCUUAUUCGAUGAACUUCAAGCCAACUGAACCAAACCUCACUUAUUAUUUUUAUGAAACAAAGACUGUAGCUGCCUAUUUCCCCUAACAUUGAUUUGACUCCCGGCAAGAACACGUAUGCGCGUGACUCACGCGCAACGGCGCGAAAGCCGUUGCUUGUUCUUUCGCGCUAGGCGCUCAGUCCGUUGCUUGUUUGCUCCUACGAUUUGGCUUUGGCUAGCUAGCUGCGGUUUCACUCUCGUAUAGGGGUGGCAUUCCCGUUCCAAGUCGAGUUUCAUAUUCAGUAGUAGACUUGCUUUUAGGAAAGCAGAUGGCACUUUUCCACUGUCAGUAUAGUGUAGUGAGUGCUCCGGCUUCUUGCUUCUUCCGUUCCGUCCCCCCGCAAGUAGUCUUCUUUCCUCCACUCGCCUAGUAGUUUGUAGGCAAGUCGGCUCGAAAGGGACACGUGUAGUUGGUAGUUUUUGGUAGAAGUCGUCAAAGUAGUAUUCGCCUAGUCAGGGGCUUAGGGGGCCGGGCUGGUGAGAAGUAGUAGGAGACAGAAGCCUGAGACCACUAGCGGCUUACGGAAACCAACUUGCCUCAACAAGAGUGCUUUUUGCUUUGAGCUUUUUUUACUUCCCUUCCGGCUUCCUUAGUUUGCUUGCCUGACGGUCCUCUUCCCCCGGCAUCUGUCCCACUUGUAGUAGGUUGUCGGGGCGCGAAUCCGUUGCUUCUUCUGUCAGCGGCUUAGUUUUCUUCAAGUUCUUGCUUCGCCUGACGGUUGCGUUUUCAGUAUGCUUCUUUCAUUCCGGCUUUACGUGAUAGGGGUGCUACAGCUAUCGCUAGCCCUGUAGUUUUCCAGCUGCUCUUCGGCUUGAUUCAAGAUGUAGGGAAUGCUUGAUAGUGGAGUGAGGAACGUAAUAGUCGAUAGAUACGAACUACACGGAGCAAAAUCAAUCCCGACUCACACUUUUGGUUUUGAGAUUAGGAUUAGGUUCUUUGAGUUGGUUUGAGACAGAAGCAAGUAGUCCAACUCGAUUCCUGGCUGACCGCUGAAAACAGGCCGAAAAGUAAGUGGUGUGAGCUGUCCGAU
rnacentral:lncRNA from 1 species